CGCACCAUGCCCAGCUAAAUUUUGUAUUUUUAGUAGAAACGGGGUUUCACCAUGUUGGUCAGGCUGGUCUUGAACUCCUGACCUCAGGCCAGGAUCCUCCCGCCUCGGCCUCCCAAAGUGCUAGGAUUACAGGCGUGAGCCACUGUGCCCAGCCAUCAGUGAUUUUUUUUUUUUCUUAAGAAUCUAUCCAAAUGACGAAAGUUGAUGGUUACUACAAAUAAUCAGAAAUACAAAUGGAAAGACUGAACAUUGGGUUUCUGUCCAGACUUUUCAAGCUUAGACCUCUCUGCAGACUCCUCUUAGCUCACCAUCACGUCUUACUCUCCCCUUACCCACCUAUCCAUUCCUGAUCUUUGCUUGUGACAAGAUAACCUGUGUAGGGACUGCUUCCUACGUGAAGUGGUCCCCAGAAGGAAGCAGAUUGGAAGGUCCUAGAAAUAGGAGGUGCAGACAUGCACUGAGCAGGAGCCGCUGGCAUCUUUGCUGGUGACUUUGAGACCCCUUCCUCAGGCACUUGUCUUUGAAUGGUGGUCUUACCUGCAAUUUUGCUGUGAGCUCUGGAGUGCAGAGAGCCCCCCAUCUUGGUCUAUCUCAUAUGUAUGACGGUGACCCUCAAACUUCAGCAUGGAUUAACUGAAUAUGAGGGAAGAGAGUAGAUCACCAAUCCUCAGAAAAGGCAUUUAAGGGCCAAGCACGGUGGCAC
rnacentral:lncRNA from 1 species